AAGUUGAGUUCUGGAGGAAGCUGGCUUUGUGGAAAACAGUUUGGCUUUAGCAGACAGGACAGUGGCCGUACUCAAGACUGGCAGGAGAAUGGUUAAGAACCUGCUUAGCAAUGAAGGCAGUGACUGCACUAACAUGUGAGAAAGAAGACAGAGAUGGGAAAGCAGCAGGUAACCCACCCCCUUGCUCUAUGGAGGAGUCACAAACCUAACUCUCUUGAUUGUGGUGACCCAGGUCACUGGUGUGAGGCUAAUGUUCCAAUUGAUGUACAUUUGGCAGCAGGACUCGCUGGCCUUAGUUUAAAAGGCCCCAGAAAGCAACACUGAUGGCUGAACAAAGGCAGCACUGUACCCUGAGCCCAGCACAAGCCUUCGCUCUCUGUCCUGCAACUCCUCAGCUGGCCCGGCCUCUACACAUCUAUUUCUCAUUGAUACGGAUGCACUUUUACUGCCACUGCCUUCUCUGAGAUUCCAAACAGACCUGCAAACCUCCCUUGCCUGCUCUAACGAUACCGACCUACCUGCCUUUGGAGAAGGGGCCCUAGGGACCAGCAAACUCAAUUCAGAAAGGGCCAGAGAGCAGAUAUUUUGGUCUCUAUGGGUAGUAUAGUUUUACAAUGCACUCUUGGGUUUUUCUUUGUAAAAUACAUUUUAUUGUUAAAUUGACCAUUUAUAGUCAUAGACUUAUGGGGUUCCGAGUGACGUCAUGGUUUAUGAAUACAAUGUGGAAUAAGUAGAUCAGAUAAAUUAAUAUCACCCCAAAUACUUAAUCCUUAUUUGUAGUAAGAAAAUUUGAAUUUUACUGUCAGAAAAUUUGAAAUGCACAACCCUCUAAAAACGUAAAAUCACCAUGCCUUUAAUACCAGUACUUGGAAGGCAGGGGCAGCAGCAAAUGGAUCUCUGUGAGUUAGAGGCCAUUCUGGUCUAUAGAGCAGGCCAGCCAGGACUACACAAAGAAACCCUGUCUUGAUAAAACCAACCAACCAACCAACCAAACAAACAAAAAAGUAAAAAUUACUCCCAGUAAAAGCAUAGCAAAACCA
rnacentral:lncRNA from 1 species